AUUUUCUCAUUUAGUCUCUAAUUUCCUCAUUUUUGCCUAAAUUUGCCCAAUUUUUCCCCAGACUUUCCCAUCUUUGUCCCCAAUUCCCCAAAUUCUCCCCUAAUUUUCCUAUUUUUGCUGAAAUAUGUAGAAGUUGUUCACAAAUUUCCCCCAUAGUGACCCCAGCCUGAUUUAGACUGGUUCAUACUGGUUUACACUGGUCUGUGCCUCCUCCUGCACAGGUAGAGGAGCUCCUGCCCCCACCCGUGGAGAUCGAGUUCCCCCCAGCGCCACCCCUGACGGUGUCCCCUGAGGUCAUCACCCUGAGGGAACCUGAAGUUCCGCUGCUGCCACCGGCCCUCGAGGAGGAGCUGCCUGAAGUGACCCCCAGGGAGCUGCAGCUGCUGCUCGAGGCCGAGGCAGAGGAGCUGCUGCCCCCGGGUGAGGGGGGCACCUGGGGGGUAGGGGGGU